UACAGAGGUCCCGAGCGUUGUUCGGAUUCAUUGGGCGUAAAGGGUGCGUAGGCGGCUUCCUAAGUUUGAUGUGAAAUCCUGGGGCUCAACCCUGGAACUGCAUUGAAUACUGGGAGGCUAGAGUACUGGAGAGGAAACUGGAAUUUACGGUGUAGCAGUGAAAUGCGUAGAGAUCGUAAGGAGGACCAGUGGCGAAGGCGAGUUUCUGGACAGUUACUGACGCUGAGGCACGAAGGCCAGGGGAGCAAACGGG
rnacentral:rRNA from 1 species